rnacentral:rRNA from 1 species
CCUACGGGUGGCAGCAGUGAGGAAUAUUGGUCAAUGGCCGAGAGUCUGAACCAGCCAAGUAGCGUGAGGGAUGACUGCCCUACGGGUUGUAAACUUCUUUUGUAGGGGAAUAAAACGAGGCACGUGUGCCUUUUUGCGUGUACUUUAUGAAUAAGGAUCGGCUAACUCCGUGCCAGCAGCCGCGGUAAUACGGAGGAUCCGAGCGUUAUCCGGAUUUAUUGGGUUAAAAGGGAGCGUAGACGGUGGUGCAAGUCAGUGGUCAAAUUGUGGGGCUCAACCGUAAAGUGCCGUUGGAACUGCAUCCCUUGAGUGCGGGUGAGGUAGGCGGAAUGCGUGGUGUAGCGGUGAAAUGCAUAGAUAUCACGAAGAACUCCGAUUGCGAAGGCAGCAUACCGGAGCGUAACUGACACUCAUGCACGAAAGCGUGGGUAUCGAACAGGAUUAGAUACCCCUGUAGUC